UUGAAAUGAGAUAACCACAAUAUCCUCAUAGGUACAUUGAAUGGUUUGGGAUGGGCAGACAGGCUGGGGAUUGAAUCAUCUCCCAUUUCUCUUCUCUUUAGAGUACUGAAAGGAGCUCAGCACGGAUGUGAGGAACGAAGUGAGAAGAUAGCAGUGGAGAAGCAGCCAACGAGAGCAUCAUUUAUCCACCCUCUCUGAAUGUGGGAUGAAUGCUCAGAGGUCCCACAUCCACAUCUCAGCCCCAAACCGAGCCAGGAACCAACACAGCAUAAAGAUAGCAAAAGGGAGCUGGCAAGAACAGUGACAAAUACUGAGCCUCUUAGCAAACCAAGUGAACUGAAUGGUGCUACACAGAGGUGUUCUUAGCACGCGGAUCCAUACGGUUUUGCUUCUCUUCUGUUGCAAACAUACACGUACCGGCAUAACCGGCAGCAAUCUGGAGGGAAUAAGACUUCUCGGGGAUAUUUUGCAACUUCCACUUAAGCUCAGUCUGUCUUUAUAUUCACUGUCAUCUAAACUGUGAAUAUAUUAUAUUUUCUCCCCAACUUUCCAAUUUUAUCAUCUCUCGUCAGCGCCAUUUAUGCGCAGCGCCGCCUCGACGCGAGCGGGGAUCUUUAUUUAUUUAUUUCCCGUUCACUAACUUCACCUUAAUGUGUUAUAAUACAAAACAUAACAGCCCUCACCGGGCUGGAUAGCAAAGUUAAUAUUUCAUUUUCUGUGUUUUAUGUCCUGAUGGCUUCCUGCUAACAUCAGAGGUAAUUCUCACAUACUUCACCGGGAAAUGUAAUGGGGUGGAAAGACAUUCCCCAGCUCCGCAAUCACUUUGCUAGCAAAGACAGAUGGAAUGGGGACUUGCAGAAACGCAUUGGUGAUGUCUAUUCUGGACAGACUCGAAGCAAUUUAUAUAAGCCACUAAUACGUUUGUCAGGGAGACAUCAGGCAUUUUCCUUUUCCUUUUGUUUGCUCGCAACAUAAACGAGAGAAAAAAGAAUGGAUGCUUUUACCGAGAUGCAAUCUUUAAGUUAGUGGCGUGGAAAAUUGCAUUGAUACUUCCUGAGCAAAAUGAUCAACUUUAUUGAACAGCAGCAAAAGCUGAACGUUUGCAUGAGGGUUUUAAAAGAGAAAUCACCUCCUAUGACAAGUGAAACAGGAAGUAGAGCUGUUUUAUCUGGAGGUUUUCCAAGGCAUAAGAACUUAAUUGGAGGCCAAUUUGGUUUUGGGGUAGAGGAAAACUGAUGGAUCGAAGGCUACAUUGAAAUAAGAGAUGGAAAAUCGGAGAGGAAUGGGGCCGAGCGUGCUUUGAAGGAGGCAAUGCAAUGGUUUACAUGUGGCACGGCCCAUUCAGCUCUGAGAUGCUACAUUAGAUGUAGCUCAUGCUGACUUGGGUAGGUGUGAGCUGUGCCAUCAGUUGGGUGAUGUCACUUUGUUGUGUGCCAGGUUAUAGGUGGUCUCCCUGCAGCCAUCAAUGCAAUUCACUAGCAAUUUCAAAUUCCCCAAGAAUAAAGGGAAUCAGAAAUGGAUCAAAAAGCAUCACCCCCCCCAAGACAGAGCAGAAGACUGUCUGGGAGGAAC
ensembl:lncRNA